GGAGAGGUGGCUGAGCGGCUGAAAGCACUCGCCUGGAGAGCGAGUAGGUGGGUAACCCCUGCCUCGUGGGUUCAAAUCCCACCCUCUCCGCCA
rnacentral:tRNA from 3 species